UUGCUGGGAUGCACCUUUGGAAUGUGUGAGCCAAGAAUGGGCGCGCAUGCUCAUGGAACCCGCAAGGAAGGCGCACCGGGGAGGAAAGGGAGGGGGCAGAGAUCACCCUAGGAAUGUGCACAGGGGGCAGCUGCCGGUGGAGGGUGUUUGGUAUGAGGGAGACAGGCUCAUGGGGAAAUGCAGCUGGCCCUCCCGCACUGGGGCCCCAGCGCUGACAGGGGACGGCGUAGGACGGGGAUCCCUUGGGCUAGGAGGGCGAGAACUGCUGCGCCAUCAGGUGGCAGCUUUGGGGCUGCUAGGAAAAAUGGCUGCCAGGGGUCCUGUAAAGCAAAGCUUGCUUGGAGAAUGGGCGAAGAUGUAUGUGUGGAGGAGCUGAGACACUCAAAGGAUUAACCCCCUGGCCCAGGUCACCGACUUGUCGUGGAGUUCAUUGGAAUGUGAUGGGAAGGAGGAGAAGAAGGAGAAGGUGAUGGAGAGUCUCCUGGAGGCAGCUGAAUUUUUGGCAUGGCCGAGAAGACCUGGGGUGGACCCUUGACCCGCAUUGGGCCCACUCUUGCUUCUCUCCCGGGAACUAAGACUUAGGAUUUAUGAAUGCUGGUCUGUCUGUGCAGGAAUGGUGUGUGAGGGGAGGGAGGCAGCAUGGUGAUUUGUGAAGGGCUGAACUCAGACAGACCUAGGUUUAAGUUCUGGUCAUCUCACUUGCUGUGUGACCUUGGACAAGUCACUUCACUUCUCUGAGCCUCUCUCCAACAACGGGGCUAAUAAUCCCUGCCUUAUAAAGUUGUGGUGAUGAUUAAAAAGUGGCUGGGAAUGGUAGCUCUUGGAAAUAGUAGACAGUCAAUAAAUGU
rnacentral:lncRNA from 1 species